rnacentral:rRNA from 1 species
CGCACGGGUGAGUAACACGUAUGCAACCUGCCUGCCACAGCCGGAUAAUCGGGAGAAAUUCCGUCUAAUACGGCAUAAUGCAUCGACGGGACAUCCUGUUGGUGCCAAAGGUUAAUUCCGGUGGCGGAUGGGCAUGCGUCGCAUUAGUUAGUUGGCGGUGUAACGGACCACCAAGACGACGAUGCGUAGGGGUUCUGAGAGGAAGGUCCCCCACACUGGACUGAGACACGGACCAGACUCCUACGGAAGGCAGCAG